rnacentral:rRNA from 1 species
UACAGAGGUCUCAAGCGUUGUUCGGAUUCAUUGGGCGUAAAGGGUGCGUAGGCGGCGCGGUAAGUCGGGUGUGAAAUCUCGGAGCUUAACUCCGAAACUGCAUUCGAUACUGCCGUGCUUGAGGACUGGAGAGGAGACUGGAAUUCAUGGUGUAGCAGUGAAAUGCGCAGAUAUCAGGAGGAACACCGAUGGCGAAGGCAGGUCUCUGGGCCAUAACUGACGCUGAGAAGCGAAAGCAUGGGGAGCGAACAGG